GGCGAACGGGUGAGUAACACGUGGACAACCUGCCUCAAGGCUGGGGAUAACAUUUGGAAACAGAUGCUAAUACCGAAUAAAACUUAGUGUCGCAUGACACAAAGUUAAAAGGCGCUUCGGCGUCACCUAGAGAUGGAUCCGCGGUGCAUUAGUUAGUUGGUGGGGUAAAGGCCUACCAAGACAAUGAUGCAUAGCCGAGUUGAGAGACUGAUCGGCCACAUUGGGACUGAGACACGGCCCAAACUCAAACGGGAGGCUGCAGUAGGGAAUCUUCCACAAUGGGCGAAAGCCUGAUGGAGCAACGCCGCGUGUGUGAUGAAGGCUUUCGGGUCGUAAAGCACUGUUGUAUGGGAAGAACAGCUAGAAUAGGAAAUGAUUUUAGUUUGACGGUACCAUACCAGAAAGGGACGGCUAAAUACGUGCCAGCAGCCGCGGUAAUACGUAUGUCCCGAGCGUUAUCCGGAUUUAUUGGGCGUAAAGCGAGCGCAGACGGUUUAUUAAGUCUGAUGUGAAAGCCCGGAGCUCAACUCCGGAAUGGCAUUGGAAACUGGUUAACUUGAGUGCAGUAGAGGUAAGUGGAACUCCAUGUGUAGCGGUGGAAUGCGUAGAUAUAUGGAAGAACACCAGUGGCGAAGGCGGCUUACUGGACUGCAACUGACGUUGAGGCUCGAAAGUGUGGGUAGCAAACAGGAUUAGAUACCCUGGUAGUCCACACCGUAAACGAUGAACACUAGGUGUUAGGAGGUUUCCGCCUCUUAGUGCCGAAGCUAACGCAUUAAGUGUUCCGCCUGGGGAGUACGACCGCAAGGUUGAAACUCAAAGGAAUUGACGGGGACCCGCACAAGCGGUGGAGCAUGUGGUUUAAUUCGAAGCAACGCGAAGAACCUUACCAGGUCUUGACAUCCUUUGAAGCUUUUAGAGAUAGAAGUGUUCUCUUCCGGAGACAAA
rnacentral:rRNA from 1 species